AUGGCAGUCACUAAAUGCUUAGCUCUUGGUUUGAUUGUCGUGUUUGGCAUUGGGUUAGCCAAUGCUGCGAGGGUAGCUAAAUACUCUAGUUCCGAAGGAACCGGCACGGGAGGAGGAGAGGGUGGUGGUUCCGUCAAUGGUGCUGGAUCAGGGUCUGGGGUUGCUGUUGGGUCUGCAGGAAAUGGUGAAAAUGGGGGGUUCGUCCAUGGAAGUGGUGGUGGUGGAGGAGGAGGUGGCGGUGGUGGACAAAAUGGUGGGUCUGGACGUGGAUCUGGAUCUGCCUUGGGCUCAGGCUCGACCCAGAUUGGUCCAGACCCUUUUGGUGGAUCUUCUAGUGCUAGUGGUCAUGGUGGCGGUCGAGGCGGAGGACAAGUUAGAGGCUACGAUGGAUCUAGUGGUUCUGGGAAUGGUGGCGGCACUGGCUCUGGCGCUAGUGAGUCAAACAAUGGGUACUGGUCCGGUGGUGCUUAUGCCAAUGCUAAUGCUUCUGGCAACGGUGGAGGGAGAGGUUGUUGGGGAUCGUAG
rnacentral:rRNA from 1 species